CCUACGGGAGGCAGCAGUGAGGAAUAUUGGUCAAUGGGCGGAAGCCUGAACCAGCCAAGUAGCGUGCAGGAUGACGGCCCUACGGGGUGUAAACUGCUUUUAUACGGGAAGAACGCGCCGUACGUGGAGGGCGUUGCAUGUACCGUAUGAAUAAGGAUCGGAUAACUCCGUGCCAGCAGCCGCGGUAAUACGGAGGAUCCGAGCGUUAUCCGGAUUUAUUGGGUUUAACGGGAGCGUAGGUGGCUUGUUAAGUCAGUUGUGAAAGUUUGCGGCUCAACCGUAAAAUUGCCGUUGCAACGGGCAGUCUUGACUUCAGUCGCGGUGGGCGGCAUUCGUGUUGU
rnacentral:rRNA from 1 species